UAUUUUUAGGUCAAACAGUUCUUGUCUGUCAGUCAUAUAAUGCAGGUCUAUGAGGUAAACAUUACCUCAAAGAGCAUUCACAGAGAAGUCCAAAUUAAGCAACUGUCCAUCGUAAGUACACAUUGAUGGCCUUAGACACAAAACGAGCGGUUUGUGUGAGAAAACGAACACUAUUUAUAUUGUUUUUGCCCCUUGUACACAACCACAUCUGUGCCUAGUCUGCGCAUGCGCCGGAAGUGAUCUCUCGCACGUGUACGUCACUCAUUGUUUACACAGAACAGAGAUUGUAGGUAAGACCGUUAAUAGAAAUUGUACUGAUUUGCGCUUAUCCGGGAUGUUUAAACCGACGUGAAAGAAAACAAUUACGUAUGCUCGCGCAAACUCAUCCAGGAGAUCUCUUCCGGCGCAUGUGCAAACUAAGCUCAGACGUGGUUGUGUACAAGGGGCAAAAACAAUAUAAAUAGUGUUCGUUUUCUAACACAAACCGCUCGUUUCGUGUCUUAGGCCAUCAAUGUGUACUUACGAUGGACAGUUGUUUAAUUUGGACUUCUCUGUGCAUGCUCUUUGAAGUAAUGUUUAGUAAGUGACCAUAGACCUGCAUUAUAUGACUGACAGAAAACAACGGUUUGACCUAAAAAUAUCAAAAGUGAAAGUACCGCGGAAACCAAGACACCUACAUCUUGGAUGCCCCUGAGGUCCAUCAUCCUUGCAUGCGCUACACACUCAAAAGCAUUGAUAAAUGCUGAAUUUAAAAGAAUCACUACUGUCUUAUUUUCCUGCGUGUCACCUGGACCUCCAAUCCAAAAACCUGACGAAACUCUUCUAUCAGAAAGGAGGACAGCUAGCAAAAAGACUUCAAACAAUGAAUGAUCAAAUGACAGAAGGCAUGGAUGAAGUCAGCAUCAGUGUGGUCAUUUGAAGACACCACUGUUGGGAUUUGUGCUCUCAAACAACAUGCUUCUUGUGAUGAAGAAGAGGAUCUUUGUAUAGUCCUGGAAGGCAUGAAGGUGUUGCAACAUCGUGCCAUGUUGUUUGAGCUGAUGUAUGCCUUAAACCUGAGCUAUCCUGAUCUCUGCUUUAUUUUUGAAGAAAUCCAAAAGAUUUUAAUGGAACUGCAUUGAGCGUAACUUUAACGAACAGUUUCUUUCAGUGAAAGGAUCAGAAAGACUGUGCUGCUCAUUUAUGUUCUUUUUAUUUAUCUGUUUUAAGUGUUUUUUCUUAUUAAAACAUUAACAGUUUGCUGCUCAGAGUUGAUUUUGGAAAUGGUUGUUGUAUUUUGUUUUUGUUGAAUCUUUGAUUAUCAGUUUAUACAAAUGCUGUAGCUCUGACUUUCUGAAGGAUUGAUAUUUUCCAGUUUGUAAAUCCAUUUAAAAAAGAAUAGUACUUACUGUUUUGCAUGUCUCUUUGGAAUGCAGUGUUUGUGCUUUAGCACUUCUAAAUCUACUGUGAUAGUAACUAUUUUAAACAUUUGGGUCAGUUUUACAGAUGGGGCUUUUUCUAGUCCCAGACUUUUGCAAUGCCUUAAUUUGAAAACAUAUUGCACUGACA